AGUGAGCGGAUGAACUGAGGGUAGCGGAGAAAUUCCAAUCGAACCUGGAGAUAGCUGGUUCUCUCCGAAAUAGCUUUAGGGCUAGCCUCAAGUGAUGAUUAUUGGAGGUAGAGCACUGUUUGGACGAGGGGCCCCUCUCGGGUUACCGAAUUCAGACAAACUCCGAAUGCCAAUUAAUUUAACUUGGGAGUCAGAACAUGGGUGAUAAGGUCCGUGUUCGAAAGGGAAACAGCCCAGACCACCAGCUAAGGUCCCAAAAUAUAUGUUAAGUGGAAAAGGAUGUGGCGUUGCCCAGACAACUAGGAUGUUGGCUUAGAAGCAGCCAUCAUUGAAAGAGUGCGUAAUAGCUCACUAGUCGAGUGACACUGCGCCGAAAAUGUACCGGGGCUAAACAUAUUACCGAAGCGGGGGAUUGUCCUUUGGACAAUGGUAGGAGAGCGUUCUAAGGGCGUUGAAGCAUGAUCGUAAGGACAUGUGGAGCGCUUAGAAGUGAGAAUGCCGGUGUGAGUAGCGAAAGACGGGUGAGAAUCCCGUCCACCGAUUGACUACGGUUUCCAGAGGAAGGCUCGUCCGCUCUGGGUUAGUCGGGUCCUAAGCUGAGGCCGACAGGCGUAGGCGAUGGAUAACAGGUUGAUAUUCCUGUACCACCUAUAAUCGUUUUAAUCGAUGGGGGGACGCAGUAGGAUAGGCGAAGCGUGCGAUUGGAUUGCACGUCUAAGCAGUAAGGCUGAGUAUUAGGCAAAUCCGGUACUCGUUAAGGCUGAGCUGUGAUGGGGAGAAGACAUUGUGUCUUCGAGUCGUUGAUUUCACACUGCCGAGAAAAGCCUCUAGAUAGAAAAUAGGUGCCCGUACCGCAAACCGACACCGGUAGUCAAGAUGAGAAUUCUAAGGUGAGCGAGCGAACUCUCGUUAAGGAACUCGGCAACAUGACCCCGUAACUUCGGGAGAAGGGGUGCUC
rnacentral:rRNA from 1 species